GGGUUGUGAGGUUAAGCGACUAAGCGUACACGGUGGAUGCCCUGGCAGUCAGAGGCGAUGAAGGGCGUGCUAAUCUGCGAUAAGCGCCGGUAAGGUGAUAUGAACCGUUAUAACCGGCGAUACCCGAAUGGGGAAACCCAGUGUGAUUCGUCACACUAUCAUUAACUGAAUCCAUAGGUUAAUGAGGCGAACCGGGGGAACUGAAACAUCUAAGUACCCCGAGGAAAAGAAAUCAACCGAGAUUCCCCCAGUAGCGGCGAGCGAACGGGGAGGAGCCCAGAGCCUGAAUCAGCAUGUGUGUUAGUGGAAGCGUCUGGAAAGGCGCGCGAUACAGGGUGACAGCCCCGUACACAAAAGCGCAUGUGCUGUGAGCUCGAUGAGUAGGGCGGGACACGUGGUAUCCUGUCUGAAUAUGGGGGGACCAUCCUCCAAGGCUAAAUACUCCUGACUGACCGAUAGUGAACCAGUACCGUGAGGGAAAGGCGAAAAGAACCCCGGCGAGGGGAGUGAAAAAGAACCUGAAACCGUGUACGUACAAGCAGUGGGAGCACCCUGUGUGACUGCGUACCUUUUGUAUAAUGGGUCAGCGACUUAUAUUCUGUAGCAAGGUUAACCGAAUAGGGGAGCCGGAGGGAAACCGAGUCUUAACCGGGCGUUAAGUUGCAGGGUAUAGACCCGAAACCCGGUGAUCUAGCCAUGGGCAGGUUGAAGGUUGGGUAACACUAACUGGAGGACCGAACCGACUAAUGUUGAAAAAUUAGCGGAUGACCUGUGGCUGGGGGUGAAAGGCCAAUCAAACCGGGAGAUAGCUGGUUCUCCCCGAAAGCUAUUUAGGUAGCGCCUCGUGAAUUCAUCUCCGGGGGUAGAGCACUGUUUCGGCUAGGGGGCCAUCCCGGCUUACCAACCCGAUGCAAACUGCGAAUACCGGAGAAUGUUAUCACGGGAGACACACGGCGGGUGCUAACGUCCGUCGUGAAGAGGGAAACAACCCAGACCGCCAGCUAAGGUCCCAAAGUCAUGGUUAAGUGGGAAACGAUGUGGGAAGGCCCAGACAGCCAGGAUGUUGGCUUAGAAGCAGCCAUCAUUUAAAGAAAGCGUAAUAGCUCACUGGUCGAGUCGGCCUGCGCGGAAGAUGUAACGGGGCUAAACCAUGCACCGAAGCUGCGGCAGCGACACUGUGUGUUGUUGGGUAGGGGAGCGUUCUGUAAGCCUGUGAAGGUGUGUCGUGAGGCAUGCUGGAGGUAUCAGAAGUGCGAAUGCUGACAUAAGUAACGAUAAAGCGGGUGAAAAGCCCGCUCGCCGGAAGACCAAGGGUUCCUGUCCAACGUUAAUCGGGGCAGGGUGAGUCGACCCCUAAGGC
rnacentral:rRNA from 1 species